GGUUAAGCGACUAAGCGUACACGGUGGAUGCCCUGGCAGUCAGAGGCGAUGAAGGACGUGCUAAUCUGCGAUAAGCGUCGGUAAGGUGAUAUGAACCGUUAUAACCGGCGAUUUCCGAAUGGGGAAACCCAGUGUGAUUCGUCACACUAUCAUUACGUGAAUACAUAGCGUAAUGAAGCGAACCGGGGGAACUGAAACAUCUAAGUACCCCGAGGAAAAGAAAUCAACCGAGAUUCCCCCAGUAGCGGCGAGCGAACGGGGAGCAGCCCAGAGUCUGAAUCAGCUUGUGUGUUAGUGGAACGGUCUGGAAAGUCCGACGGUACAGGGUGAUAGUCCCGUACACCAAAAUGCACAGGUUGUGAACUCGAAGAGUAGGGCGGGACACGUGGUAUCCUGUCUGAAUAUGGGGGGACCAUCCUCCAAGGCUAAAUACUCCUGACUGACCGAUAGUGAACCAGUACCGUGAGGGAAAGGCGAAAAGAACCCCGGCGAGGGGAGUGAAAAAGAACCUGAAACCGUGUACGUACAAGCAGUGGGAGCCUCUUUAUGGGGUGACUGCGUACCUUUUGUAUAAUGGGUCAGCGACUUAUAUUCUGUAGCAAGGUUAACCGUAUAGGGGAGCCGAAGGGAAACCGAGUCUUAACUGGGCGUUAAGUUGCAGGGUAUAGACCCGAAACCCGGUGAUCUAGCCAUGGGCAGGUUGAAGGUUGGGUAACACUAACUGGAGGACCGAACCGACUAAUGUUGAAAAAUUAGCGGAUGACUUGUGGCUGGGGGUGAAAGGCCAAUCAAACCGGGAGAUAGCUGGUUCUCCCCGAAAGCUAUUUAGGUAGCGCCUCGUGAAUUCAUCUUCGGGGGUAGAGCACUGUUUCGGCUAGGGGGUCAUCCCGACUUACCAACCCGAUGCAAACUGCGAAUACCGAAGAAUGUUAUCACGGGAGACACACGGCGGGUGCUAACGUCCGUCGUGAAGAGGGAAACAACCCAGACCGCCAGCUAAGGUCCCAAAGUCAUGGUUAAGUGGGAAACGAUGUGGGAAGGCACAGACAGCCAGGAUGUUGGCUUAGAAGCAGCCAUCAUUUAAAGAAAGCGUAAUAGCUCACUGGUCGAGUCGGCCUGCGCGGAAGAUGUAACGGGGCUAAACCAUGCACCGAAGCUGCGGCAGCGACACUAUGUGUUGUUGGGUAGGGGAGCGUUCUGUAAGCCGUUGAAGGUGGCCUGUGAGGGUUGCUGGAGGUAUCAGAAGUGCGAAUGCUGACAUAAGUAACGAUAAUGCGGGUGAAAAACCCGCACGCCGGAAGACCAAGGGUUCCUGUCCAACGUUAAUCGGGGCAGGGUGAGUCGACCCCUAAGGCGAGGCCGAAAGGCGUAGUCGAUGGGAAACAGGUUAAUAUUCCUGUACUUGGUGUUACUGCGAAGGGGGGACGGAGAAGGCUAUGUUAGCCGGGCGACGGUUGUCCCGGUUUAAGCAUGUAGGCGGAGGUUCCAGGUAAAUCCGGUACCUUUUAACGCUGAGGUGUGAUGACGAGGCACUACGGUGCUGAAGUAACAAAUGCCCUGCUUCCAGGAAAAGCCUCUAAGCAUCAGGUAACACGAAAUCGUACCCCAAACCGACACAGGUGGUCAGGUAGAGAAUACCAAGGCGCUUGAGAGAACUCGGGUGAAGGAACUAGGCAAAAUGGUGCCGUAACUUCGGGAGAAGGCACGCUGAUAUGUAGGUGAAGUGAUUUACUCAUGGAGCUGAAAUCAGUCGAAGAUACCAGCUGGCUGCAACUGUUUAUUAAAAACACAGCACUGUGCAAACACGAAAGUGGACGUAUACGGUGUGACGCCUGCCCGGUGCCGGAAGGUUAAUUGAUGGGGUUAUCCGUAAGGAGAAGCUCUUGAUCGAAGCCCCGGUAAACGGCGGCCGUAACUAUAACGGUCCUAAGGUAGCGAAAUUCCUUGUCGGGUAAGUUCCGACCUGCACGAAUGGCGUAAUGAUGGCCAGGCUGUCUCCACCCGAGACUCAGUGAAAUUGAACUCGCUGUGAAGAUGCAGUGUACCCGCGGCAAGACGGAAAGACCCCGUGAACCUUUACUAUAGCUUGACACUGAACACUGGUCCUUGAUGUGUAGGAUAGGUGGGAGGCUUUGAAGUGUGGACGCCAGUCUGCAUGGAGCCAUCCUUGAAAUACCACCCUUUAAUGGCUGGUGUUCUAACGUGGACCCGUAAUCCGGGUUGCGGACAGUGUCUGGUGGGUAGUUUGACUGGGGCGGUCUCCUCCUAAAGAGUAACGGAGGAGCACGAAGGUUAGCUAAUCCUGGUCGGACAUCAGGAGGUUAGUGCAAAGGCAUAAGCUAGCUUGACUGCGAGAGUGACGGCUCGAGCAGGUGCGAAAGCAGGUCUUAGUGAUCCGGUGGUUCUGAAUGGAAGGGCCAUCGCUCAACGGAUAAAAGGUACUCCGGGGAUAACAGGCUGAUACCGCCCAAGAGUUCAUAUCGACGGCGGUGUUUGGCACCUCGAUGUCGGCUCAUCACAUCCUGGGGCUGAAGUAGGUCCCAAGGGUAUGGCUGUUCGCCAUUUAAAGUGGUACGCGAGCUGGGUUUAGAACGUCGUGAGACAGUUCGGUCCCUAUCUGCCGUGGGCGCUGGAGAAUUGAGGGGGGCUGCUCCUAGUACGAGAGGACCGGAGUGGACGCAUCACUGGUGUUCGGGUUGUCAUGCCAAUGGCAUUGCCCGGUAGCUAAAUGCGGAAGAGAUAAGUGCUGAAAGCAUCUAAGCACGAAACUUGCCCCGAGAUGAGUUCUCCCUGAGACUUUAAGUCUCCUGAAGGAACGUUAAAGACGAUGACGUUGAUAGGUCGGGUGUGUAAGUGUAGCGAUACAUUGAGCUAACCGAUACUAAUGAACCGUGAGGCUUAACCUU
rnacentral:rRNA from 1 species